UCUUCUCUUUGCCUCACAUUCGUUUCUCCCUUUUCAAACUACAGAAGAACCUCAAAAUCUACCGACAACCAUAAAAAAUUCCCCACAGAUCUCGUUUAUCUCAGCCCUUAAUUUGUUCUUCCUCUUUCGAACUAUACGAGAACUUCAAAAUCAAAAGAAAACCCUAAAAAAAUCACCACAGAUCUCGUUUACAUCUGAGAAAUUGGAAUCCUCAGAGGACCUCUUCCUCUUCUUUUGUAUUGUUGUUGACGAAGUGCUGUGGAGGGAAGCUAUUCUACUUUCUUCAUCGCCGUUUGAUUGCAAGUUCACUACACAGACAAUUAGCCACAGAAAAAGUUUAGGUUUUUCAAUAUUUUUUACGAAUCUUGCUCGUUCCUUUAUUUUGUACUUUCUACUUACUUGGGCAUUUUUCUUGGUCAAGCGCUUCAACUCCUAAAAAGCUUAUUCACACAAAUUUGAUAUUCUCAAGAGUUGAUAUUCUUAAGAGAUGAUGUGGCCGAGUUUAAAAGAAAAUCAUCACUCAUGAUUCACACAUGGGCCUCUCCACUGCAUCACCAGUGGAGACCAUAAAUUUUACACUGGAGGAAUUUCUAGACAAGAAUGAAAUAAUUCAAGAAUGCAGAUCUCUUUAUGAACGUCUUAUUAAAUUGUAAGCUUCUGAUUCUCUCAUCAUUCUAAAAUUUUAUAAUAAUUGCUUUUGAUUCUUUUGUAUUCCAUUAGAUAUAGUUCUAGACUACUACCAUAUCGUCCCUUUUAAUAAAUUUCCCUAGCAUAAUUUGAUCACGAGAACAAUUUUUAGCUCAUAGUUGCACUAAAUAUUUUUCAAGCUUUCAACAAAGAGCAAGUCUUGCGAAAAAAUAUACUGGACAAGAAAUUCGAAAGUACAAGAAAUUGAUGAUACAACAAUGGGAUUCAGGCUUCUGAGGUUGCACGGGUAUAAGGUUUCUGCACGUAGAGUUUUUGACUUCUAAAAAUCAUGACGGCAAAGUAAUGUAAAUGACAAAAGUACAAUUCACCAAUGUUUGUUGGGAUUGAUCAAUUCAUUUGGAUUAAAAUGGCAGAAGUAAUGUUAUAAUUUCAAGGAAAUCUUAUCUAUAAGUAUGCUUGCGUGUGCUAUUUAGGGAAAGAAUGUAUCUCAUUGUUGUUGUUUUGCAGGUGAAGUGUCUAGCAUAUGCAAAAAUGUGUUCUUCAAUUGUCUCUAAACUAUCGUUGUUGGAUAUAAUUCUGAAACAUAGGAUGACAAUUAUCUAGGAAUCUUUCUCACGAGGCAAUUAUGUGAAGCGUCUUAUUACAUAAUUAGUUUGAAAUGCAUUUAAAAAAAGUAAUGAUAUUUAUGAGUAAAUAGGCAAAAAUUGACAGGUUUACAUCUUUUUGAUAUGGAAUUAUUUUAUGAAUUUCUUCGUCCUAAUUGAUAUCUUGUAAAUCAUGGCAUUUAAUUAAAAUUUUACGAGUUAAUGAAUCUUUUUAAUGAAAAUAAUGUGAACUUACGAUUUUCACCUUUGACAUAUAAAAUAUGUUAACCAAUAUGUUCCUCAUUUCAAGGAUUGGUGCUUGCAACCCUUCUUGUCAUUACUCCUUGUGUGCAUCAAAGCAGUGUCACUUAUGGACUCUUGAAUGGUGAAUGAGUUUUUUUGUUGUUUUUUUGGGCCAAAAAGUUGCUUGGUGCAAGAACUUGGGUCUUGAAGAAGGCAUGUAGGUAUGGUUUUUGAAAGAUAACAUGACUAUGUGGCAAAUGAUUUUUUAAGUAAUGGUACUACUUCGUUGCCAAGCGGGUAAUUUGUUUGAAGCUCUAAGGUAAUGAUGAAUGUGUUAUAUGUUGUUUUCUUCUCAUGGGAUUAAACUUUUGACCAGCCAUGCAUCUCAUUUGGAAAUAAGGUGUGCGGGCCAUGUAAAUGUUUUCUAGGAUGAUGUGCAGUUUGGUUUGAGUACUCAGAUAGAACUAGCAGUAAAUCUGACAUUUUAUAAAAUCUUUGUAAGUUGGAGAACAAUUUAAUGAUGAUGAGGGAUGAGGAGUAAAAUGGCCUCAAAAGAGAAGAUAUUGGCCGCUGAUUAUAUUUGAUUGGAGUUGGACUUUCCACUCCUUGAAAUUCAGGUUUGUUGCAAAUUUCUAUGCUGAUGAAGUUUUGAUUGAUGUUUUUUUAUAACAUUUCCCUUCUUUGUGAUACAUCCUUCAUUAGAUGCUUACAAUCCUCGACUCCUCAUUUUUCUUACUGUUCAAAUGUUGACCUUAAGAGUUUUUCAUGGGACAACAUCAUGUUGGUCUUUAUUUUUGCUCAACAAACAACAGUGUGAUCACAAUUCCAUGUCCAUGAAUUUCUUGAUACUAUUCUAUCUCUACAUAGUACAAUACAUCAAAGCAUAGUGGAAAUAGUGUUUUUUGCCUCGGGCUUUGAAAAUGUCACAAAAGAGGUAGUAGCAAGAGGAGGCCAAGUUUUGAUUUGAAGGCACUCCCCUUGAGGACAAACAGCAUCGAAAAGCGCCUUCUUUUAAGAAGGUAGAGCAAGUUUUUAUUCCUUUUUAUGAAAGAAAUUACUUUGUUGGGAUAUUAAACUUUAUAUGGAUUUAUGAUGAGAUUUGGUGUUUAAUAAUUUUGUUGAA